GUAAGGUAACAUGGCUGAGGUAUCAGAGUAAGGUAACAUGGCUGAGGUAUCAGAGUAAGGUAACAUGACUGAGGUAUCAGAGUAAGGUAACAUGGCUGAGGUAUCAGAGUAAGGUAACAUGGCUGAGGUAUCAGAGUAAGGUAACAUGGCUGAGGUAUCAGAGUAAGGUAACAUGGCUGAGGUAUCAGAGUAAGGUAACAUGACUGAGGUAUCAGAGUAAGGUAACAUGGCUGAGGUAUCAGAGUAAGGUAAUAUGGCUGAGGUAUCAGAGUAAGGUAACAUGGCUGAGGUAUCAGAGUAAGGUAACAUGGCUGAGGUAUCAGAGUAAGGUAACAUGGCUGAGGUAUCAGAGUAAGGUAACAUGGCUGAGGUAUCAGAGUAAGGUAACAUGGCUGAGGUAUCAGAGUAAGGUAACAUGGCUGAGGUAUCAGAGUAAGGUAACAUGGCUGAGGUAUCAGAGUAAGGUAACAUGGCUGAGGUAUCAGAGUAAGGUAACAUGGCUGAGGUAUCAGAGUAAGGUAACAUGGCUGAGGUAUCAGAGUAAGGUAACAUGGCUGAGGUAUCAGAGUAAGGUAACAUGGCUGAGGUAUCAGAGUAAGGUAACAUGGCUGAGGUAUCAGAGUAAGGUAAUAUGACUGAGGUAUCAGAGUAAGGUAAUAUGGCUGAGGUAUCAGAGUAAG